AAGGAAAAAUAGAGGAGGAAGGAAAGAAAACUAGCUAUUUUUCAUGAUCUGUCCUGAGAAAAUAUUUCUAAACUCACCCUACAAACUGCUGUCUAUAACACCAUUGGAGUCAAAUGGGCCCCUUUCAGACAGGGAAAUUCACAGCUGCUGGCUGUGGCAUGCAGGGCACGCAGCCAGGGACACCUAAGAGCAAGUGCUUGCCUCUCUCUCUCACCCAGAAUGAUGAUGCAGGAAUGACAAAGGGAGAUACUGGGGAAUGUCAAGUCAAACAAAUCAUAGCUCUUCUCCGGUGGCUCCUGUGACCUUGUUCUGAGGUAAGGCACACAGGCGGGAGGGACAUUCAGGAUAAGCAAUGUUUGUCAUCUGAGGCUUCUAUCUGCUCCAAACGGAACUUUAAAUCUCCCUUAUGGAGGCAUUGACAUUUAGUUUGGCACAUUUUCAGAUACUAGGGGAAAAAAAAAACAUGACUUGACAAGAAAAAAAGUCAAGUUAAUACACAGGAAAAGGAGGCCAUUAUUUCCAUAGUUCAGCAUCUAAUUUACAUAGAAGCAUGCAAACACGCGUUUUUGGACACUAGAAUUUCUAUUGUUUUAAAUUACUGUUUUUUUCUGUCACUGAGUCAAGGAAGAUAACUGUGGCUUUUACAAAUCCCAAAUCAAGUAAAAUUAGGUUCCCCAUUGCUACAUCCAGAAUCAAUCAAUCUUUCUUUCUUUCUUUCUUUCUUUCUUUCUUUCUUUCUUUCUUUCUUUCUAUCUUCCUUCCUUCCUCCCUUCCUCCAUCCCUCCCUCCCUUCCUUCUUUCCUUCCCGUGCUUAUUUUCAAUCAUAUGAGGUUUUUAUCUAAAAGUCGCUGAGUUGACCUGUCUCAUAUUAAGCUUUAUCGCCUGCAAAGAUGAAGGAGGCGGUCGUCCAGGGAAGUAUUAGCAUUCUUCUUAGGGUGGUUAUAAAUAUUAAAUUGGGCACAUGCUUAUCUGAUAAACUUUACUAUACAUAGACCAAGUUUCGAUUAGGGCAGGGGCAGGGGUAUUAUUUUAUAUGACAAACUGAUCCAGCUCUUUCCCCAAAUUAAAACAUGAGGACUCCUGAGGGACUGUGUGCACACACAUGCCUUUAAGGAGAGAGACUUUAUAAUCGAUAGGCUCGCUGAAAGUUUAUUUUUGUCCCCGUUAGAAAGAGCGUCUAAUUCUGCCCCCCCCCAACCAAUGCGCACACUUCGCUCCAGCCUGAACAUCCUGUGACUUCAGUAGUCCUGACAUUUUAAGGUGGUAUUUGAUCCUUCCAAAUCUUUGAAGAUCAUUUUUCUGCAGACUCUUCACCAUCCCACCUUUAAAGAUAAAAGGCCAGUCUGUGAAGGAGAUCAGGUCGAAGAAAGUUCAGUUUUGUAAUUCCAGCAACAGGACACUUCCCUCACUGACUGUCUCCCACAUAUCAGUUAUUUGAGACAGACUUUUUUAUUUGUUUGUUUGUUUUUCUUUUUUAGAAGAAAGAGAGGUCUGGUGUCAAAAGUGCUGCCAAACAUCCCCAAAUCACAGAGUCUCUUAACUCCGACAGGUUAAGAAAAGACAGUUUGCCUUCAUACCUUCAGCUUUCCUUAUUAACUUUGACCUCGGCCUUUUCUCAGUCAGCUGCUUACACAGGCAUUUCACACAGGAGAAGUGAAGGAAAUUCCAGAAGAAAAGCAAGCAGCAUAAAAACGACUUUUUACGGAAAGUUCAACAACCUCCAGAGAGAUCGAGUAUGGCAUGCUGAAGGAGCUGACUUCAUUUAUUAAAUGCACUUCCCGAUGUGUUAAGUAACUCGUUCUUCUAAGUGCACAGGGUUUGUAUUACUCUUCUCUCUGCUGCCUCCUUCCCCUCUGUAGGAUUUAUGAUGUUUUCCUGACAGGCUCCAUGUGCCUGAGGCCCAUUAGGUAGGACUGAGGUCUCACCUUUUCUAAGUCCAGAAGUCAUCCUGAGGAAGUGCUAUUACUUCAUGUGUAAAACUGCAAAACACACACAGAAUCACUUGGAACAGAAACUCUUUCUGUCAAGGGUUGCUCUUCCUCCAAAGUUUCUUCUCUGAAAACUUAUUACUAUUAUUAUUAAUUACUAUUAUUAGUUUUGCUGAUUUGAUUAUGCUCUACUGAAGGUAGUUAGAAAAUGAUAUAAAAUAGGAAAUAUUGUUGCUUGCAAAACAGUGUCAAAGGCCAACAGAUAAACCUUCAAAUUCAUCUGCAGCACAUGUCAAUUAGAUGCUGUCCAGAAAAUAGGGCAAGCAACAGGACUUCUUCCUCUGUUCAAAGUGUCAGUCCAAUUCAGUUUCAACCCAGAAUGUGUUUUAGGUCUGAGGUAAUAGGCCUACCUCAUUUCUUCCAUAGAUUUUGUCUGGAGGAGCGACCAACUGGAUCCACUUCAACUCUGGAGAUCACUACAUGCCACCACAUACUAUAUUGUUGGCCACGAGCAGCACUGAAUCUUCACGUGUAGCUUCUUACACUGUCAUGCCCCAUAGUACCCACAGCUAAAUCUAUACUUUCCAGCAAAGAACACAAGCCUGCAAUUGCCCUUACAGUUUCAAAGCUUAGCUUUGCAGGUAAUUGGGGAAAGUUAGUUAUGUUCUCCGUGCACAAGUUAAUUCAUUCCCACUAAAACAAUUACAGCAUUGACUGUGUCAUGAGUCUGUGAGGAUUGUAUAGUUCACAUGAAGCUGCUUAGGAACAUGUAAGCAUUCAUGUGUGCAUAAUUAUACAUUACUGUACUUUUAUUUUCAUUAUUUUUAUUGUACAAAUGUAAAUUUCUUUCUUCAUAUCAUAGAGAAUUGACACAGCAACAUUAACUUGAUUUAAUUAGCUCAUAAAAUCUGGACUUGCCAAGCUGGUCAACUGAGGCCACUUUUGGGAACCCAGAGGAAGAAGGUAUCUUCUAUAUCUAUUAUAUAGUCUAUCUAUUUAUGGGGAUAAAUAGAUGUUGGUAGAAGUGGAGGUUUCUGGAAUUGUCUGAAAAUAGUUCCUAUUGCCAAACUUUUGUACAUCAAGUGUGUGUACAAGAAAGACCUCAGAAAGUCAGCACUGCUAUAGGACUGUGCACAAGCCAAGUAUCUGAAUAAUUUCUGGUGACUGGGCUUUUUCCCUGUUGAGUUCGAUGACUGUACUCCACUAGGAGAAAGGUCAUGAAGCAUGGUUCCUGCUAGGGCUGACAUUUAACAAGGAGUGAUUGAUUUGAAAGCAGGAUUGAUACUCAGAUUUAGUCUACCGGUGUUUUGCUAAAAUCCCUUUAAAAUGGGACUGUAAGUUCAUCCUCUCUUUUUCUUUCCUCUGAAUAGAUUUUUUUUUAACUAGGCCAAAAACUACCAAUAGCCAGCUCAAGUAAAACACAAGCCAAUUCAUGUCUUCAGUGUCCACCAUCUGAGUAUCUCCUAGUUAGAGGAAUGAUCACAGUUCUUAAAGUAUGAAAACACUAGUUACUGAUCGCUACCUAUCCUGAGCCCUCACUGCUAACACAGGAGCUCCAGAUGAAAUCUAAAUUUGCUAUUUCAAGCCCAUUGCUGUGUUGAUCAUUUGAGAUAAAAAUGACAUAGUUUUGAGUCUUCGGAAACUGCUCCACUUAACUCCCAAACCGUUGCUUUUGAAAAAGGCUAAUUUGGGGUUGGGUACAUUGGUGUUGCUGCCUUGUAAAACGGCAAGCUUUUUUUUAAAAAAGAAAAAGAAAGAAAAGAAAAAAAUGAAAAAAAUGGCAGCAGAGACAUUUUUUCUAGCCCAUGUCAGCACAAAAGGGUGACUCAGUUGUUUCAUCUCCCAACAGCUGCAUGCUUUCAUUGACAUUUGGUGACCUUUCUUUGUGCACCCAGCCUAACCUCUUAGGUUAUUUCCUGGCCUCCCUUCUGUGACCUAUGACCGAAGCUGACCUUUAGCUGGAGAAUGUGACAUUUUGUUCUCCUCUAGCUGACAUGUGAUGCUCUCAUUAUUCAAAGAGCCAUCUUGGGAACAGUUCCAAACUGUGGAGAACAGAAGUUUCGACUGCUUGACUGAAGUGUUAACGUCAUCCAGUCUGAGAUUUCAUAACUUUACAAACAAGAGGCCGAGGCCUCAGUGGAGUCACCAGUGGCCGUCUUAAUUACAGCAUCAACAAAUGAGCAUUUCAGCAAAAACACGCAACCUUCUUGGUGCAGGUUCAGCUAAAGUUUCUCAUUCUGAAGCUGUCGUUUCCUCUCUACUUUCACCUCCUCAUUCUUGGGAAAAAAAGUAGUUUCCCCAUUACAGUCUUUUUUUUAAAAGUAUAGUUAAAAAAUAAAAUAAUAUCUUGGGUCCUGUGGAUCUUUUCUCAUGAAUGACUUAGUUAGCUGUUUAAGCUUGUGUCAAGAUAAUAUCCUCGAAAUUUGCUGAAAUAACCAUUCUCUUUCAGGUCAUGAUGUCUGUGAUUAGUUUCAAAGAGGCUAGGGCAUAUGUCAAUGCUGUAGGAAAUGUGUUGUUUAUGCCCCAAGAAGCUGUAUCUUCUCCUGAGUGCUACCUUCCCCGUGAAGAGAUGAGUUGAUUUCUGAAUUGUAAAACAAUGCCAUAUGGGAUAUAGGUUCAACAAAUAUUUGAAUGGAAGCUUUAUACAGAGAACUCCAGUGGUGAUAAAAUAGUGAGUCCUGCACCUGGCCUUCAACAAAGAUGUGUCCUUACCAAGAGCACACUGAAAUGUCUAACUCCUGAAAGAAUGUUUUGCAAGUUUUAGAGUUUGACAAGAUAUGGUGACUCGAGCCUGCAACACCAGGUCUUGGGUGGCCAAGGUGAAAGGAUAGCUUUAAUUUCAGGGCUGACCUGAGCUAGAUAGCAGGGUUCUGUUUCAAAACAAAAGCCGUGUGGAUCCCCCACCAAAGAAAAGCCUCAAUGUAAAUCUGCUUUCAUAAUUUUAAUAACUCUAUCCAAUCAAUUCUGAUGUUCUGUUCAUAGAUGAGUUCUUAGCUUACAUAUAAAAUAUCUUUCCUGUGUCAUUUUUAUGCCUAAUUGGUGUAUAACAUCCACUGAACAUCAAAAUAAAUGUUAUAAGUCAUUG
rnacentral:sRNA from 1 species